GGCAACCCACUUCAGUUUUCUUGCCUGGGAAAUCCCAUGGACAGAGGAACCUGGUGGGCUACAGUCCACGGGCUCACAAAAGAGUGGGAUAUGACUUACUAACUAAACAACAACACCACUACUGACCUGGUGGUCACUUCAGUGUCUUUCAUUAAAACAACCCCACACUCUGGCAGUGGUGACCUGUGGCACACUGGCUAGCAGACAAAAGUAAGCAAUUAAACACAUUCUCUGGGACUCCAGGUUUCUUUCAUAGUGUAUUUUGGAGUUUCAUGGACUGUACACUGUACAGUCUUUCCAUUAGUGUAUAGACCAGGGGUUCUCUACCUCUUUGAUAGCAGGAUGCCUUGACACUUAAAAAUUAUUGGAGACCACAAAGCACUUUGAUUUACAUGGGUUACUGUAUACUGAGGGGCUUCCCAAGUGGCGCUAGUGGUAAAGAAUCCACCUGCCACUGCAGAGGGCGCAGGAGAAGUGGGUUCGAUCCCUGGGUCAGGAAGACCCCCAGGAGUAGGAAAUGGCAACCCACUCCAGUAUUCUUGCCUGGAAAAUUCCAUGGACAGAGGAGCCUGGUGGGCUGCAGUCCAUGGGGACACAAAGGGUCCAAUACGACUUAGCGACUGUGUACACUCACAUUAUGUAUUGAUAUUUUCCAUAUUAGAAAUCGAGAAACAUUUGAAACACAAAAAUACACAAAUCUGUGGUUCUAUUAGCUAUCAGAGAAACUGUAUCUUCGCAUGUCAAGUAGCCCUUAGAAAAUGCCACUGUACGCUCAUGAGAUAAUGAGAGCGUAAGGGGCCAACAGUGUUUUAAUGUUAUUAUGAAAAGAGUCUUGACUUCACAGACUCCCAGCAAGGGUCUAGGAGACCCUUGGAGGGCCCAAGCCACACUUUGAGAACCGCUGGUGUAGAAGACGUGGUAUAGAACACAGAACUCAGUCUUUGAGUCUUUAUGACCUUAUGAGGUCAAACAUCUCUCAAAACACCUCUGACUCAUUCACUCACAUUGUGAUCUGAGCCAAAAUAAGACUUCUUUCACAAUCCGAAGCUGUACACUUACUUUUCUAACCCCACCUCAGAAUCAUACAUAUUUGGCCUUGAUGCAAAUACUCAGGCUCAAAAUGUGAAUCACUCCUUCGAUAAAACAGUAUUUAUAGUUAAUGUGUGAUCAUUAUUACAAAGCUAGUAUCCACAGUCAUUGAAAUAUCCAUGUAGAUCUGUUUGCUAAACUCUUCAGUAGUAACAGUGGCUUUUAAUUUCAAUACAUUAAGGAAAAUAUCAGAGCUUACUUUUUCUAAUUUUGAGACCUUUUGGAUUUUUAUGAUUUAAACUUAGGGGCUCAUAGUUCUGUGCGUUUGUCUUCAUUCCCACAUCAUUUCACACCUGUGCUUAGAGGAUGGAGUUAAUAUGACAUUAAUUUCUUUUAGUUUCUAUAUAGAGAGUAAAGUAUACUAAAAAAUACAGUUUUGUUAAUUUCUAAGAAUAAGGGGGGAAAUCAGUUGAAAUUGAGGUGACAAGAGAAAAUAAGAUCAGUAACCUAAAUAAUAACCGAGCAGAAAUGGAAGCCCUUUUACCAGCUCACAGUAUUUCAUUGCUUGGUAUGGAAAAUUAAGAGAUUUUAAAAUUGGCCCAUGUCAUACCACUUAAACGCAUCUACUUUUUUUAUGCCACUAAAUUUCAGAAAAGAGGAUUUUUCACAAGAGGCAUUUUAUAAACCUAAUGCAAUGCCCAAGAACUGGAGAUUGGCAAGUGGAAAGCAUAUAGUCUAUUUGGCUCUUAUUUUAGAGUGAGAUUAAUAGGGUAAUUUUACAGAAUUGCCCAGGAACAUCACUGUGGUUGGACUUCCCAGAUGGUGCUAGUGGUGAAGAACCCGCCUAGCAACACAGGAGACCUAAGAGACAUGGGUUCGAUUCCUUGGUGGGGAAGAUCCCCUGGCCAAGGGCACGUCAAUGCACUCCAGUAUUCUUGCCUGGAAAGUCCCAUGGACAGAGGAGCCUGGCGGGCUACAGUCCACAGGGUCACAAAGAGUCAGACAUGACUGAAGUAAAUUACACACACCACUGUGGUCAUGGUGCAUAAAUGAUUUAAUGACCAUAAUAAACGAUUUACAUUUCUUUCACUGUUUAUACCUAUUUGAAAACACAAAAACAUCUUUUUAAGGAUAGAAGUGCUUUGUUGAGUAUAAAAUCUUACACAUACACCCAGGGAGAUGUGUUGUUUUCAUUAACAUCACCUACAGUACUAGUCAGAAUUCAGAUAGUUCCUCAUAAUACACUUCCAUCUUUAGGAAUGAAGGACUCAAGUGUCAUCCUUUGACAUUACAGACCACAGUUGCUUUUCAAAUUAAGCAAGACGCAACGUCUGUUUCUAUGAACACUCCAUCUGGGACUUGCCAGUGUGGAAGCUAUUGUCUUCGCAUGACCCUGAAUCCUUUCUGACCAGAAGUUCCAGAUGCCAGUCCAGAGAAGUGUAAUGUGUAAUUCCUGGCAGGAUAUCAUCAUUUUCUUCUAGUAGAGUUUUUCUCCCUUCUUGCAAGGAAUUCUAAUAUACUUCAGGGGCCACCUAGCAUGCUGGUCGGGAAGAUGUGCUUUGGAAUAAGAGUGCAUUAUUUGAACUAACUUAACAUUUUGUUAUUUUAAAAGCAAAUGAAUAUGUCAAAUAUUUCACAUGUUUUCCUAAUAGACCUCAAAACUUUUCCUGCAAAACUUAAGGAAGCUGCUUUGAGAGAAGAGUAUGGUCCAAGAAUAAUAUCCUACAAUGCAUAUUUGUAUCCAGAAUGGUUUAUACAGGUGUGAGCAAGUGGUAUGUUUGUAAAAAUUCUGUUGAAUAGGCCACUUUCUUUCAAUACAGUAAUUAUUGUUUCAUUGGUGCCUCUAGAAAAGCUACAAUUCAAUGGCAGUGAUCAAACCAUCCUCUUCCAAUGGGUCCCCAUAGAAAGUUCUCUGAAGCAUCAUGUCAUGAAUGUAAUGGACUUGGAGGGAAUUGCGGUGGUUGGAAGAGAGGGAAUUGGCCUAAUUGAACUUGAGGCUCUGAGAUUUCUGGUAUUAAGUUUCUUUUGAGUCAAAGAUUAUUUUGAUACUUGAGCUUUUUCUUCAUUAGUCCAUGGAUGCACUAUUUUCCACAUAGAAAAUACAGAAGUGAUUUGACAUUCUGAGGGAUACACCAAGACUUGCAGAUAUCACUGAAGUUUAAAUACAUAAUGGUCUCUACAGCUGUUUGGUUGUCUUCUCAAAUCACUUUCCCACCAAAUCAACCUGAGUUUGAUGGAUAUUUUUCACACCACAGCUUAAUUGUUGCUCAAGUUUUAUGGUCAUAUUUCUGAAAGAAAAAUGAAUUACUCCAAAGGGGUGGGAAGCACAGGACAGCAGUACAGCACUGAAGUGUGGCUGCCACGUGGCCGACUGGAUCAACUCACUGACUUAACGCUGUACCUAAACCAGCCUUUUAAUAAUUGUUAUACAGGUCCAUGCCUCAAAGUAUUAAGUAACACAUGUUGAGGCAUUUAAAGGUCCUUGUUGGGGCUUCCCUGGUGGUCCAGUGGUUACGACUCCACACCUUCACUGCAGGGGCCAUGGGAUCCACCCUUGCUUAGGGAACUAAAAUCCUACAAGCCGCAUGGCCUGGCCAAAAAUAAAACUAAAAAUAGAAGGUUGAACGUUUUUUUUUUUUAAAGUGAACCUUAAAAAAAUGUCCUUGUUAGCCCAACCACAGAUGCCAUACUAUAGAUUGCUGUCAUCCCCUGUGCCAUUAUUUGGUUAAAAAUAUAUAUAUUUAUUGAUUUAAAAUCUUUAUAAAAAUAUAAUUUUAUCAUUUUAAAUUUACCAUGGCCCCAAGCUCUCUAUGACAUAUCAAAAAUAAUUAGGAAUAUAUCAUCUUUACUGUCUACUAGAAAAGAUAAGAUUUGCAUAUGAUUAAUGUUCACAUGAGGUAAUGUGUAAUAAAUAGUUCUAAGUAUUCCAAGAGAAGAUGUUUAUUCUCCAGCUGGGAUAAUCGAGAAAGCCAUCACGUGGGAGGCAUUCAAGCUGGUUUUGAAGGACGGAUAUGAUUUUGAUAUCUGUGAAUGUGAGAGAGAUCACUAUCCAUAAAAAUCUCAAAUAAUGAUUAUUUUAAAAAUGGCUUUUAUGGAGUUUUUCCCACUUGUUUUAUUUUGCUUUGAUUUCUCUAUAGGCAUCUUAGUGUAAGGGAAGAGGGCAUGAAAUACAGAGAACAAUCACCAGAGUUUGAUUUUGGUCAUUGUUCCUUACAAGCAAUGGACUCUGAGCCUUGGUUUUAUCAUCAGUAAAAUGGGCAUGUGCUGCUGCUGCUGCUGCUGCUAAGUCGCUUCAGUCGUGUCCGACUCUGUGCGACCCCAUGGACUGCAGCCUACAAGGCUCCUCCGUCCAUGGAUUUGCCAGGCAAGAGUACUGGAGUGGGGUGCCAUUGCCUUCUCUGCAAAUGGGCAUGUAGGAGACAACAAAGCAUCGCGCCCAGUUCCCAGGGUCCUGCUGAGAGUGCAAUGGAGUAGCUGAUGCUAAGCCCUCAGUGCAGAGUGUGAAAGGGGAGAGGGCUUGGAGGAGCUCUGCUUCCCGGGUCCUCUCCCUGCUCCCUCUCGCUGAACUCAGUAAACAAACUCGAGAUCCAUCAUUACCUGGAAAUAAAAUCUCGAUCCCAGACAUGUCCUGUUUCCUUACUUCUCUGUUCUAGUUCACUGGAAUAAUUUCCCAAUUAAUCAUACCUUGACAUAGUUUCAUGUUAAUUGGUUUCCAGGUAAAAAUUCUUAUUUUUAAGCCUUCAUGUUUUUCAAGGGAUGUAAGAGGCUUGAGCUUCUUUUUAUUUUUGGUUUUACUUUUUAGCACACAGUGGGAAAACUGAACAUUAAAUUUGCUUUCAGAAACAUUAUUUCAAAACCCUACCCUUCUUCCUGCCCUCUUUCCAAAUUAGAGAUAAGUGGCCAAAACAAAAAGUUUUAUCUGGCCCCUUUACAUAAGACAAGGUAGGAUCGAAGUGUGGUGUGGGGAAAGGUUUAUUUUAGUUUUGUUUUGUUUUCAUUUUUUUCUCUGGGUCAAGUGGAAAUUCUCUUUUGCAAACAAGAGAGGUGGAAAAGUGUGUGUUACUGCUCACAGCACUUCUAUAAGAAGUGCCUUUAAAACUGUGCAGCUCCCCCCCUACUCUUUUCACAACUUUUCUGUUGUUUUCCAUUGCUCUGUUUUUAUUUCUAACAGAGCUUGAAAUAGCUUUCAUUUGGCACUAGUGGUAAAAGAACCCACCUGCCGGUGCAGGAGAUGUAAGAUAUGGGGGUUCGAUCCCUGAGUAGGGAUGAUCCCCUGGAGAAGGGCUUGGCAACCCACUCCAGUAUUCUUGCCUGGAGAAGUCCACGGACAGAAGAGCCUGGCGGGCUACACUCCCUAGGGUCACAAAGAGUCGGACACGACUGAAGCAACUUAGCAGCAUAGCACCCACACGCCAACUGGAAGACUCAGAACCCUGUUCUGCUUUGCCUCUUAUCAUUCGGGGUCCUUUUGGGACCCUCAGAUUGGAAAGAACUGCCCAUCACUGCGUCUGGCCCACCAUAGCCAGGUUCCAUAUUGAUCAUUUGGGAGAGGACAGUCAGUGUCGGGGGUGGGAAGAAACAUAAGUCCUGCCCCUUCCUGGGUGGCCUGCACCUGCUACCUUCGCUCUCCACUUCCUUCCAUCCAUUGGACCUCUGUGUGUCUCUUGUUCUCGGGGCCAAAAUCACAGUCCUUAAACCACCUUAUAGAUGCGGAAGUCUGCAGGAGUGUAAAUCAUGUCCAGUGAGCAUGUGGUUCUGGAACUGGUCCGCUUCCCCACCACCUCCUUUCUCUGCUUUGUGGGCCUUCGGGGCCUUUGAAGUAAACUGGUGCUACAGCAGUUUCCACUUAAUUUGCCCAGUGGUUAAAUUGAUCUAUCUCUUUUAUUUGAUCCGAUCUCCAGGAACCGAAUCAUUUGCAUUGAUUUAUUGAUUGGAGCUGUGUUUUCACCAUUACUUUUGAUCACUUUCAGCUGUUAAUAUUGGAUAAUUCAAUCAGGAUUGAUUGGCCUUACCAUUGAAGGUAGAAAGUUAAUCAUAUAGGACAAAUAGGGCAGCGCUCACCUCGGUUUGACUAUUUACUUCUCUCUCUCUCUCACCCUGCAUCCCCUCUCUUCCUGUCAUCUAAGCAGUAGCAAAAAGCUGGGGGUUUUCUUGAGUAAAGAAGGGAGUUUAAAAUUUUAUAGCAUUCACAAUGCAUCUAAAGAUGAGGUAGUUUUAUUCUGCUUUUAAUAAAACUGCACCUAGAAAUUAAGCAAACAUCCAUCCAGAAAGAUGGAUAAGCAGGACUGUCACAAUGAACUCAUUUGGACUCAAUGAGUGAAUGCAUUUUCAAUUACCCGUUUUGUACCAAUAAAUGCCUAAUCUGUGUAUGCAUGCUUGGAGGCACAACCUGGGCUCACCUUUUUCUGAAUUUGGCCCUCACCACUUCACCAUGUGUCCGGCUCAUCAGAUUUUCAAGAAUCGAGCAGUUAAUAGGACCAAAGGAAGAGCAACAGAGGUCUCGGCCAAUAAGCGGAAAACCACUUUAUUUACAUUUGAAUCGUUUCUACGGCACCCCAGCUCAGUUUUUAAAAAUUCUCCAUCCAUUAAUUUCUCGAUGUUCCUAUCGACGGCUGGUUUUCGCUGUUAAAAGAUGGAGCACCACCUCCCCGUUCUAGGACUCGUUCCCUCCCUCCAACAGCCCUGUUGUUAGCGAUCUGCCAUGACAUUAUUUUUUUGUCUGGCCCAGAGCUGACGACAGAUGGCCAUCUCGGAACUGCCAUCAGUGCGACUUUAUGGAGCAUUCAGCUAGGGUGCACUGAAGAGCGCUGCGGCCAGUGUGCAGCCCCCUCCUCGCCCCCCACCCCCUGGAAACGGUCAUCACCUCUGCCACAUUCCGCUUUGGCUGGGCUCUGCUGGCCCUGCCGUCUCCUGCGCCGCCAAGUCAGCUUGCUGCCCCGGCACCAGAAGAUCUGCCUCAUCAGGAACGAGAAACUGCGGGCACGGCCGGCCUACAAAGACAGCUCUCUGCCUCGGCGCUUUUGUAGUCCGAUCCCCGGGAGAGAGCUGGACCUCCACGUCUCUAGAACAUUCUACAAUCCAGGGAGGCACCUUGAAGUCCCCCCACGUGUUCCUAUUUCAGAUGUUCGCUCCACAUGCAGAUCAGUUUCCUCCAUGUUCGCAGAGACAUAAUGCCAAGAAUAGACUCUUUCAGUUUGCAAACUUCGAUUGGACUCUUGGAAAACACCACCUCGGUAGCCAACUGCUUGUGGCAAUUAGAGUCAGAGAGAGGGUCAUCAUGGGCUUCGACGCUCAAUCCUCUAAAAUGAGCAAAGAAUUCACACCAGCAUCUUCUGAUCCAUUGACGUGGCAAUCCCUUGGCCGGCCGCAUGAAACGAGCUGUUGCUGAGCGUUUGGAGCAAGAUUGAUAGGCUGUUCUUGAUCGAGUUUGCUAAGGCCAGGCGGCUUCAGAGCCAAGCGUGUAUUUUAAGGGGAAUUCACAUUUGUAUCCUUUAUUGUUAUAUUUGCAGGGAAUCUACAGCUCCUAACAGGCUCUGCCCUGCAGCUAUGAAGGAGCUAGUUCACCCUCAUCCGGGAGAGAGCGGGAUUCUGUGAAAGCCUGCGAUGUGGCAGGCGAGAAGAACAGUGCUUAAAAGCGCUGCUCACGGUGCUGUCAUUUAGAACAGCAACUCCAAGGCUUUAAAUGGGAGUGAGAGGCAGGGUAAACGAGGCCUUUAAAAGUGGUGAAAUUCUAAACUGCCUAAAAUAACAGGCCUCCUUCAUUGAUAACUUCAUUGAGGCAGUGAUGUCGGGGAGCUUACUGGCCAGGACCCGCUUUCACUUUCUGGUAAAGAGGAGGGCAGCGUUUGCAGAGGCGAGGCUUUCCCCCUUGUACCCAGCGUGUCUGGGAAGCCGGCAGGCUUUCUUUAGUGGCUCCCUCUGGCUUUGGUGCGGCCCCUCAGCUGGCAGAUAGACCAUCUCUUGCUGGAAACCCGAAUCACCCGUAAAAGGUUUCCUUUUUCUCAUUGCCAAGGCUUAAUUUUAUAAUCAUCUGACUUCCACCACUGGGCACAUCUGCGAAGUGCAUGCGCCUUCUAGACACAUAAAAGGCUAGUGUGACCCAUCAGCUAUCAGCAGUGUGCUUUGCUGUGCUUGGGAGUUUAUAAGCGGGGAGAGGUAUUUGUGCAGGAAGAUAGAACCGUCUAUUCUCUGUGAGCCAGGCACUAAGACCUCACCCCCGUGCUCAGUUAUAAUUCAUGACAGUACUGGUGGGAAGCCCUCAUCUCUCUGUGGAGUUAAUGCAUCUCCACCGAAGCCUGCUGCGAGCACCCUGCGUCCCCGCCCACCAUCUGUGCCUCCACUUGCAAGCGCAGGCUCUCUCUCUCUCUUCUGUUACUCACUCUUUCCUGAGAUCUCUUGGUAUUAAUAUUGUCAGGCUACUACCCACUUUGUAAAGGUGACUCUCCAAAACAGGCUUGUCGUGUUACGAGUGGAAGAGCUGGAAGGGACGCUUUCCACUGUGGUGAAAUGUCUCAUUUGGAAAAUGUCGAUUAGAAAAGGAUGGGGAGGCAGCAGUGCCCUUAAACCAGUCGCAACCUCCAGGGUAGUCCAGGAUGCUCUGCCAGUCCCUGGCUAGUAAAGGGGCACGUGUGGUCCAUGGUGAGAGGCCUCACAGGGUAGACAUUACGAUCCAGGUUAAUCCUGUUCUGAGCCGGAGUGCAGAGUCCAGAGCUGAAUCUGAAGAGAUGCUUGUCUGUUCUGUCCAGGGGCUUGGACCAGCUGUAGGGGCCAACCCAGUCCUGCACGCCGGCCCCUCUGUGAGGAGAUGCCAGCCACCCUGAGAACAAGAGCAAUUGUCCCAGGGCUACCCAAAGCCUCAGCUCAAUAUGGUCAAGCCUUGGGCUUUACAGAACCCCCCUAAAAUAGCCAUGGUCAUUUGUGAAGCUGAAUGAGCAGAGGUGGCCAAACUCCCAGGCUCCCUGCAGUCCAGAGCCGGCAGUGGUUUGUUCCCACCCUGUCCCAGGUCCUCCGUGCUGCUGCCUCCCUCUUCCCCUCCCUGAUUCCCACUCCCCACUCUGCUGGGAGCCCGAGGGGGAUGGGCCAUGAGGCCAGCAUGGGUUCAAAUAAAAGAUGACCGGGUACCUCCUUGAGCACGGCUGACCUCAGAUGAAUGUUCAGUGUUUCACAAUAUGUGCUCUUAACAGAGCCCGUUGUUAGUGUUCCUUUAAUAAGAUAAAGCAAAACCAGGCCGGGGACACCAGCAGAUGAAUUUAAUAGAUGUGAAUCCAUGAGCUACCUCCUGUGUGAGACAGUGCUAAAACAGCCUUUCUCUACUUGAGACUCGGGCUUACCCAAAGAGCCGUCCCAGCUCUGGAGGCGAGGUGAGAGGUCACCCACUAAGACAGUAGCACCCACACUGAAGUUCAGCCUUGUGUGUAAUUGGUUCCGAAUCUCCUCCUGGCGUCUGGCUGGUGCUCGCCCCAUCGUCUCGCUCACCCUCCCAAGGAAAAGUAGGGCAGGGAGCUGGCUGUGCGCCCUGUCCAGGUUUUCCUGGGUGAAAGAUCACUUGGAGAUGACACAGCUGAGUAGUCAGCCUGAAAUCCUGCAUCUGCUCAGCAAGAGGCUGCUCAUUUCGUUCUGUUCCGAGGCAGGCAACAGGAGGGCAGCUUUCUAAUCAGCCCUCAAAGGACCCCCAGCCGCCCCAGAGUCUCCGGCUGAUUGAAUAACUCCUGGGCCUCUUCCCCUAGGCCUCCAUCAGCGGGGGUCCUGUGGAAAGCAAUCUCCUGCAGACUGGCACUGAAGAGAGCUUUAAACCACCAUUUUCUGCUCUCCAGAGGAGCCUAGAGUACUAAAAGAUAGAUGGACUGCAGAUAUUUUAUGAGAAACUGUCAGAAGAAGAGCAGAGUAAAUGUUUUUUUUCUUCUUCUUCUCCGAGUCACACACUACAUCACUGUUGAAUUUCUCCCAGAAUCUUUUACAUUUAAAGGAAGAAAUUAAUUGGUUGCUAACCUUUCACUGCCCUCUCCCUUCUUCCUCGUUGUCUUCCUCUCCCUUUUUUUUUUUCUUAAAUAUUCACACAGAGGCCCUUUGCUUAACCACAGUUGCAGAAAAUCAGUACCAUUUGCAAUGAAAUAUUUAUAAUGACAGAAUGAAAAAUUGGAUUCAUUUUCUGGACUGUAGCCGAACAGUCUGCAACUUUGUGUGGUAUUGUUAGGCCUCCCCCCCACCCUUCCUCCCUUUCACUGGAAGCUUGUUCGAAAACAGGACACAUGGACGUUUACCUGUGCUUUGGAGGGAGGCCUACCAAAACACAGAACCCGUUCCUGGGCUUUUUUUAAGGGAGAGAAGAGCUUAUUUUCGUCUGUGCUGCCACGUGGGGGGCACUCGGGCUGUGGCCCAUAAAAAGGUAGAGAGGAUGUGAACCCGGUCAAAAGAAAGAGUGUUGGCUCUGUGGGGAGGAGCUGGGACAAGUUUACAGAGAAGGCAGGAGCCGGUCUGGCCCGCACUCUCUGCACACU